rnacentral:rRNA from 1 species
AGUGAACGCUGGCGGUAGGCCUAACACAUGCAAGUCGAACGGCAGCACAGUAAGAGCUUGCUCUUACGGGUGGCGAGUGGCGGACGGGUGAGGAAUACAUCGGCCUCUACUUUUUCGUGGGGGAUAACGAAGGGGAACUUACGCUAAUACCGCAUACGACCUACGGGUGAGAGCAGGGGAUCUUCGGACCUUGCGCGAUUGAAUGAGCCGAUGUCGGAUUAGCUAGUUGGCGGGGUAAAGGCCCACCAGGGCGACGAUCCGUUGCUGGUGUGAGAGGAGGGUCAGCCACACUGGAGCUUAGCCGCGGUCCUGGCUCCUACGGGAGGCACCAGUGGGGAAUGGUGGGCAGUGGGCGCAAGCCUGAUCCAGCCAUACCGCGUGGGUGGAGAAGGCCUUCGGGUUGUAAAGCCGUUUUGUUGGGAGAGAAACGCAGCAGGUUAAUACCACGCUGGUGUGACGGUACCGGGUGAAUAAGCACCGGCUAACUUCGUG